rnacentral:antisense_RNA from 1 species
GGCCACAUCUGCCAGAGCCUGGAGUCUGCGAAGGCCGGGACCCGGUUCCCCGGCCCGCCGUGGGGAGUGUGCAAACCCGAGAGAACUGGGAAGUGCCGUCAGAAGCGAUAACUGACGACGUCUAACGUCUAUCUGACCGCAGUCGCUGAAACCUCUACAACUUAGUUGACCGUAACUGCCAGAGCCCUGCCCUGAAUUCCUGUCCUUACUCCCUCUUUCAGAUUGCGUACCCACUGCAGAGGGCUGAAGACGGGGUAGCCACGAGGUUGCAAAUUCGUGAAGAAUCAGCAGCAUGUUUGGCAGCUGAGUAUUGGAGCCAGGAGCCUGCCAUGAGCUGAUGCAGCCUCAGUGUUCCUUUGCCUUGGGGGUUUCUGAGUGGUGGGGUUGUAAGGAGAGCCUGCCAGGCAUCCAGAAGGAAACCUCAUCAGGACUCCCUCAGAAAGCAGGCCCUGAAGAAUCCUGUGACCUUCCUCUAAAGUAGGUCAUGAGACCCCCUGAGCUUAAAACGGAGUGAUCGGCUUUGGAGAAAAAUCCCUGGAAGGCACCCAGGCUGGACAUCAUCAUAUACUCUCUACAGAUGGAGACACCAAGGCCCACGCCUUCUGUGCUGUUGGAAUUUCAGGAAGGAUGGGGGCGGGGCACGGCCUCAGCCCUGGGCCUGUUCUGCAGAUUGCACUGCUCUUAUCUGCCAGGGGGUGGUGAGAGGGUGGUGAGGGGGUGGUGAGGGGGUGGCUGAGCUGGACAGAUGGAGGGCAGGGACGGGGCUCUGUGGUCUGGCAGCUGACAUUGAUACAAGCAAAUAAAGAGUCUUUGCUGGGG